AUGUCUAGCACAAGCAAGUCAACUCCACACCUCAAGACUUCCUCCACCAAGAAGGAAAGAAGGGUAAUGGUCGUAGGUGACUCCCUUCUGAGGGGAACAGAAGGCCCCAUAUGUCAGCCAGCCCCUACCCAUAGGAAAGUCUGCUGCCUCCCUGGGGCCUGGGUCAGGGACAUUACCAGAAAACUUUCUGAUCUUGUUCUCCCCUCCCAUUAUUACCCCUUAGUGAUAAUUCAGGCUGGCAGUGCUGAAAUAGCUGAGAGAAGCCUGAAGGCUAUCAAGAGGGACUUCAGGGUAUUGGGGCGGUUAGUGGAUGGAGUAGGAGUACAGGUGGUGUUUUCCUCUAUCCCUUCAGUGGUGGGGAGGGAUACUGAGCAGACCUGGAAGGCCUGCCUCAUCAGUACAUGGCUGAGAGGCUGGUGCCAUCGCAGGAAUUUUGUUUUGUUUCAUUUUGUUUUUUGGUCAUGGGGAGGUUUACUUAGCACCUGGCCUGAUGGCUGCAGAUGCGUCCCACCUGUCUCAAAGGGGAAAAAGGACGCUAGUCCACGAGCUGGCAGGGAUCAUCUAGAGGGCUUUAAACUAGGUACAAAGGGGAACAGGGGGGAAAUGAGGCUCCAUAGAGAUGAGCCUGGGGGGGCAGUCCCAGGGUUGGUGGUGAGAGCAGUAGUGCAACUGAAGUGCAUCUACACUAAUGCAUGCAGCAUGGGAAACAAACAGGAGGAGCUGGAAGCCAUUGUGUGGCAGGCAAACUAUGACCUAGUUGCCAUCACUGAAACGUGGUGGGACCACUCCCACAACUGGAGUGCUGCAAUGGAUGCCUACAAGCUCUUCAGAAAGGACAGGCAACUCAGGAGGGGCCGUGGCAUGGCUGUCUGUGUUAGAGAGUUUUUCGAUGCUGUUGAGCUCGGGGUUGGGAAUGAUAAGGUAGAGUCCCUGUGGGUAAGGAUCAGGGGGUUGGCCAACACGGCAGACAUCCUUGUGGGGGUCUGUUACAGACCGCCAAACCAGGAUGAAGAGACAGAUGAGGCAUUCUGUAAGCAGCUGGUGAAAAUCGCUCAAUCGCCAAUGCCUGUCCUCAUGGGGGACUUUAACUUCCGAGACAUAUGCUGGAAAUACAGUACAGCCCUGAGGAAGCAGUCUGGAAGAUUCUUGGAAUGCAUGGAAGACAGCUUCCUGACUCAGCUGGUUAGUGAGCCUACCAGAGGGGGUGCACCACUAGACCUGCUAUUCAUGAAGAGAGAAGGACUGGUGGAAGACGUAGUAGUCAGGAUAUGUCUUGGGCAGAGUCACCAUGACAUGGCAGAGUCCUCCAUUCUUGGUGAAGUCAGGAGGGGCAUCAGUAAAACUGCUACCCUGGACUUUCAGAGGUCAGACUGA
rnacentral:lncRNA from 1 species